GACCUCGGAUCAGGUAGGGAUACCCGCUGAACUUAAGCAUAUCAAUAAGCGGAGGAAAAGAAACCAACAGGGAUUGCCUCAGUAACGGCGAGUGAAGCGGCAACAGCUCAAAUUUGAAAUCUGGCCUUAAGCGGGGUCCGAAUUGUAAUUUGCAGAGGGCGUUUCGGGCGACGCGCCGGUCUAAGUCCCUUGGAACGGGGCGUCAUAGAGGGUGAGAAUCCCGUAUGUGACCGGCGACCGAGCCUGUGUGAAACCCCUUCGACGAGUCGAGUUGUUUGGGAAUGCAGCUCAAAGCGGGUGGUAAAUUUCAUCUAAAGCUAAAUACCGGCCAGAGACCGAUAGCGCACAAGUAGAGUGAUCGAAAGAUGAAAAGCACUUUGGAAAGAGAGUCAAAAAGUACGUGAAAUUGUUGAAAGGGAAGCGCUUGCAACCAGACCUGCCCGCGGGUGAUCAGCCGUCCUUCGGGGCGGUGCACUCACCCGCGAUCAGGCCAGCAUCGGUUCGGGCGGCCGGAUAAAGGCCUUGGGAACGUGGCUCCCCUCGGGGAGCGUUAUAGCCCAGGGUGCAAUGCGGCCCGCCCGGACCGAGGACCGCGCUUCGGCUAGGAUGCUGGCGUAAUGGUUGUAAGCGGCCCGUCUUGAAACACGGACCAAGGAGUCGACCAACCGUGCGAGUGUUUGGGCGUCAAACCCACACGCGCAAUGAAAGUGAACGGAGGUGGGAACCCCUCGCGGGGCGCACCAUCGACCGAUCCAGAUGUCUUCGGAUGGAUUUGAGUACGAGCAUGGCUGGUCGGACCCGAAAGAUGGUGAACUAUGCCUGGAUAGGGUGAAGCCAGAGGAAACUCUGGUGGAGGCUCGCAGCGGUUCUGACGUGCAAAUCGAUCGUCAAAUUUGGGCAUAGGGGCGAAAGACUAAUCGAACCAUCUAGUAGCUGGUUCCAGCCGAAGU
rnacentral:rRNA from 1 species